GACGAACGCUGGCGGCGUGCCUAAUACAUGCAAGUAGAACGCACAGUUUAUACCGUAGCUUGCUACACCAUAGACUGUGAGUUGCGAACGGGUGAGUAACGCGUAGGUAACCUGCCUGGUAGCGGGGGAUAACUAUUGGAAACGAUAGCUAAUACCGCAUAAUAUUAAUUAUUGCAUGAUAAUUAAUUGAAAGGUGCAAUUGCACCACUACCAGAUGGACCUGCGUUGUAUUAGCUAGUAGGUGAGGUAACGGCUCACCUAGGCGACGAUACAUAGCCGACCUGAGAGGGUGAUCGGCCACACUGGGACUGAGACACGGCCCAGACUCCUACGGGAAGCAGCAGUAGGGAAUCUUCGGCAAUGGACGAAAGUCUGACCGAGCAACGCCGCGUGAGUGAAGAAGGUUUUCGGAUCGUAAAGCUCUGUUGUAAGAGAAGAACGGGUGUGAGAGUGGAAAGUUCACACUGUGACGGUAUCUUACCAGAAAGGGACGGCUAACUACGUG
rnacentral:rRNA from 1 species